CAGUCGCCGCGGGAAUACGAAGGGGGCUAGCGUUGUUCGGAAUUACUGGGCGUAAAGCGCACGUAGGCGGAUAUUUAAGUCAGGGGUGAAAUCCCAGAGCUCAACUCUGGAACUGCCUUUGAUACUGGGCAUCUUGAGUAUGGAAGAGGUGAGUGGAAUUCCGAGUGUAGAGGUGAAAUUCGUAGAUAUUCGGAGGAACACCAGUGGCAAAGGCGGCUCACUGGUCCAUUACUGACGCUGAGGUGCGAAAGCGUGGGGAGUAAACAGGAUUAGAUACCCCUGUAGUCCCUGUCUCUUAUAC
rnacentral:rRNA from 1 species